rnacentral:rRNA from 1 species
UACAGAGGGUGCAAGCGUUAAUCGGAAUUACUGGGCGUAAAGCGCAUGUAGGUGGCUUGUUUAGUCUAAUGUGAAAUCUUCGGGCUUAACCUGAAGUCUGCAUUAGAUACGGAUAAGCUAGAGGUGGACAAAGGAUGGUGGAAUUUCCGGUGUAGCGGUGAAAUGCGUAGAUAUCGGAAGGAAUGUCAGUGGCGAAAGCGACUGUCUGGGUUCAACCUGACACUGAGAUGCGAAAGCGUGGGGAGCAAACAGG